rnacentral:tRNA from 1 species
GCCACGGUGGUCUAGCGGUUAGAACGCUGGACUUGUAAUCCUGGGGUACUGGGUUCGAUUCCCGGCGGUGCCC